rnacentral:lncRNA from 10 species
AUGUCCAAGAAAAUGUGCUCCAGGUGUUAAUAAAAUUUAUUAAACUUCUGUUUGCACGGAUCACAAACUAUUUGGAUUUUGGAGGACAGUGUGAACUUAAAAUGAAAUCUAGACCUUCAGUGAGAUUCUUACGGUUCCUGAAUCUUGGGUUCCCUUCGGUAGACUUUCGAGUAUUAACUGCUAUGAUAAGGGCAUGGGAAGGUUAACCUUAACAGAACAGAAUAGACUUACUGUGACCCAGACCUACCAAUAGACAUAGUCACUUUCAAUAGUAAUAAUAGACAAAAACAAUCAGCCAUGUAGCUGAAUCACUGGAGGUCAAACACAAAUAAAAGAAA